rnacentral:rRNA from 1 species
UACGGAGGGAGCUAGCGUUGUUCGGAAUUACUGGGCGUAAAGCGCACGUAGGCGGCUUUGUAAGUUAGAGGUGAAAGCCCGGGGCUCAACUCCGGAAUUGCCUUUAAGACUGCAUCGCUUGAAUCCGGGAGAGGUGAGUGGAAUUCCGAGUGUAGAGGUGAAAUUCGUAGAUAUUCGGAAGAACACCAGUGGCGAGGGCGGCUCACUGGACCGGUAUUGACGCUGAGGUGCGAAAGCGUGGGGAGCAAACAGG